CGGAUAUUUGCUUCGUGUCCA
rnacentral:siRNA from 1 species